rnacentral:rRNA from 1 species
GACGUAGGGCGCGAGCGUUGUCCGGAUUUAUUGGGCGUAAAGAGCUCGUAGGCGGCUUGUCGCGUCGGCUGUGAAAACCCGCGGCUCAACUGUGGGCGGGCAGCUGAUACGGGCAGACUAGAGGUAUGCAGGGGAGAACGGAAUUCCUGGUGUAGCGGUGAAAUGCGCAGAUAUCAGGAGGAACACCGGUGGCGAAGGCGGUUCUCUGGGCAUUACCUGACGCUGAGGAGCGAAAGUGUGGGGAGCGAACAGG